UACGUAGGGCGCAAGCGUUAUCCGGAAUUAUUGGGCGUAAAGAGCUCGUAGGCGGUUUGUCGCGUCUGCCGUGAAAGUCCGGGGCUCAACUCCGGAUCUGCGGUGGGUACGGGCAGACUAGAGUGAUGUAGGGGAGACUGGAAUUCCUGGUGUAGCGGUGAAAUGCGCAGAUAUCAGGAGGAACACCAAUUGCGAAGGCAGCUCGUGGGACGUACUGCGCUGAGAACGCGGAA
rnacentral:rRNA from 1 species